GUUUCAGCGUGUAUUUGACGGUAUUUUUCCUCAAAUGAACAUGCAUAAAGCCGGUGAAGUGACUCUCAGAGCAGCUCUGAAGGCAGUGGCUAUCUAAGGAUAGCCCACCCGGAGAGGACAAUGAAAAAACCUGCACUCAUAUAUUAUUGAAGGACAGAAGUGCCUUCACAGAUAUCAUGACUCCUGGAGACCUUCUGGAAAAGUAUCAUAAUAAUUAAUGUCUCCUCUCUUGAAAGCUAUGGACUGGGAAGUUGCCACGGAGUGAGAUAUAUUUCACAUUUCCAUGAUGGUCCUGUUUCUAGUUUCAGCAGCUCUCAUUUCAAACAGUUCCUCUCAUGGAAACCUGAC
rnacentral:lncRNA from 1 species